rnacentral:rRNA from 1 species
AACGUAGGACACGAGCGUUAUCCGGAGUUACUGGGCGUAAAGGGCGAGUAGGUGGUGCGAUAAGACUGGUGUGAAAGCCUUCGGCUUAACCGAGGGAGGACACUGGUGACUGUCGGACUUGAGGCAGAUAGAGGGGUGUAGAAUUCUGGUGUAGUGGUGAAAUGCGUAGAGAUCGGGAGGAACAUCAGUUGCGAAGGCGGCUCUCUGGACCAGCACUGACACUGAGGCACGAAAGCGUGGGGAGCAAACAGG